GGUAAAAUGGCUGAGGGUAAGCAUUGAACUGUAAAUUCAAAGACAGAGACUAGAUAUCUCUUUUUACCA
rfam:Sarcophilus harrisii ctg7180002343197, whole genome shotgun sequence.